AGAGUUUGAUCCUGGCUCAGGAUAAACGCUGGCGGCGUGCAUGAGACAUGCAAGUCGAACGGACGGUCGAGGCUUGCCUUGACCGUUAGUGGCGGACGGCUGAGUAACGCGUAGGUGACCUGCCCCGAAGUGGGGAAUAACUGCCCGAAAGGGUGGCUAAUACCGCAUGUGCCGGUGCGUUCAUUCGCGCCAGCAAAGCCGCAAGGCGCUUCGGGAGGGGCCUGCGUCCGAUUAGCUCGUUGGUGGGGUAACGGCUCACCAAGGCGACGAUCGGUAGGUGGUCUGAGAGGACGAUCACCCAGACUGGGACUGAGACACGGCCCAGACUCCUACGGGAGGCAGCAGUCGGGAAUUUUGCGCAAUGGACGAAAGUCUGACGCAGCAACGCCGCGUGAGGGAUGAAGGCCUUCGGGUUGUAAACCUCUUUUCUCAGGGAAGAUAAUGACGGUACCUGAGGAAUAAGCCACGGCUAACUACGUGCCAGCAGCCGCGGUAAUACGUAGGUGGCAAGCGUUGUCCGGAUUUACUGGGCGUAAAGAGCGCGCAGGCGGUCGUGCAAGUCGCGUGUGAAAGCCCCCGGCUCAACUGGGGAGGGUCACGCGAUACUGCUCGACUUGAAGGCAGGAGAGGGAAGUGGAAUUCCCGGUGUAGUGGUGAAAUGCGUAGAUAUCGGGAGGAACACCAGUGGCGAAGGCGACUUCCUGGCCUGUUCUUGACGCUGAGGCGCGAAAGCUAGGGGAGCAAACGGGAUUAGAUACCCCGGUAGUCCUAGCCGUAAACGAUGGACACUAGGUGUUGGUGGUAUCAACC
rnacentral:rRNA from 1 species